rnacentral:misc_RNA from 1 species
GUUUUUUUUCCUUUCCUCCCGGUUUCUACCGCUUUACGAUUCGUUUUUUCCUUUUCCUUUUACAGAUCACCAUCGUCUCUCAUUCAUAGAUUCAUGGAGUUCUCGUUGUUAAGGUAGGAUUUCGUGGUCGCCUUUCGCGGAGUGCAAUUUCUUUUCAGCUUUUCCGGUAUUGGUUUGAAGAUAGUUCGGAAAUGGCGACCACAAAUCCAUUUGAUUUGUUGGGAGAUGACGACGCCGAGGACCCAUCGCAGCUAAUUGCCGCCAAGCAUGCCGUCGCGGCGGCGCCUAAGAAAGGUUCUGAUCAUCCUCAGGCCAAACAGGCGGCUGCGGCAGCUAAAUUGAACAAACCUGCUAAUCUUCCUUCCAAGCCUCUUCCACCUGCUCAGGCUGUAAGGGAAGCAAAGAAUGAAGGUGGUCGUGGAGGUCGUGGUAGUGGGCGUGGUGGAGGUGGACGUGGAUAUUGGCGAGGGCGUGGC